rnacentral:rRNA from 1 species
GACGAACGCUGGCGGCGUGCUUAACACAUGCAAGUCGAACGGAAAGGCCCUGCUUUUGUGGGGUGCUCGAGUGGCGAACGGGUGAGUAACACGUGAGUAACCUGCCCUUGACUUUGGGAUAACUUCAGGAAACUGGGGCUAAUACCGGAUAGGAGCUCCUGCUGCAUGGUGGGGGUUGGAAAGUUUCGGCGGUUGGGGAUGGACUCGCGGCUUAUCAGCUUGUUGGUGGGGUAGUGGCUUACCAAGGCUUUGACGGGUAGCCGGCCUGAGAGGGUGACCGGCCACAUUGGGACUGAGCUACGGCCCAGACUCCUCCGGGAGGCAGCGGUGGGGAAUAUUGCACAAUGGGCGGAAGCCUGAUGCAGCAACGCCGCGUGCGGGAUGACGGCCUUCGGGUUGUAAACCGCUUUCGCCUGUGACGAAGCGUGAGUGACGGUAAUGGGUAAAGAAGCACCGGCUAACUACGUG